rnacentral:rRNA from 1 species
GAUGAACGCUGGCGGCGUGCCUAAUACAUGCAAGUCGAGCGAACAGACGAGGAGCUUGCUCCUCUGACGUUAGCGGCGGACAGGUGAGUAACGCGUGGAUAACCUACCUAUAAGACUGGGAUAACUUCGGGAAACCGGAGCUAAUACCGGAUAAUAUAUUGAACCGCAUGGUUCAAUAGUGAAAGACGGUUUUGCUGUCACUUAUAGAUGGAUCCGCGCCGCAUUAGCUAGUUGGUAAGGUAACGGCUUACCAAGGCGACGAUGCGUAGCCGACCUGAGAGGGUGAUCGGCCACACUGGAACUGAGACACGGUCCAGACUCCUACGGGAGGCAGCAGUAGGGAAUCUUCCGCAAUGGGCGAAAGCCUGACGGAGCAACGCCGCGUGAGUGAUGAAGGUCUUCGGAUCGUAAAACUCUGUUAUUAGGGAAGAACAAAUGUGUAAGUAACUAUGCACGUCUUGACGGUACCUAAUCAGAAAGCCACGGCUAACUACGUG